AUUGAACGCUGGCGGAAUGCUUUACACAUGCAAGUCGAACGGAAGCACGGACUUCGGUCUGGUGGCGAGUGGCGAACGGGUGAGUAAUGUAUCGGAACGUGCCCAGUCGUGGGGGAUAACGUAGUGAAAAUUACGCUAAUACCGCAUACGAUCUAUGGAUGAAAGCGGGGGAUCGCAAGACCUCGCGCGAUUGGAGCGGCCGAUAUCAGAUUAGGUAGUUGGUGGGGUAAAGGCCCACCAAGCCAACGAUCUGUAGCUGGUCUGAGAGGACGACCAGCCACACUGGAACUGGGACACGGGCCAGACUCCUACGGGAGGCAGCAGUGGGGAAUUUUGGACAAUGGGCGAAAGCCUGAUCCAGCCAUUCCGCUUGCAGGAUGAAGGCCCUCGGGUUGUAAACUGCUUUUGUACAGAACGAAAAGGUUUCUACUAAUACUAGGAGCUCAUGACGGUACUGUAAGAAUAAGCACCGGCUAACUACGUGCCAGCCGCCGCAGUAA
rnacentral:rRNA from 1 species